UCUGGUUAAAAACAUAGGUUUUAGUUAAUUUUGAUUCAUAUUAUUCUGAACUUUGCUGUAACACGAUGGACAUAUUGCACAUUGCGACGAGCCGAGGAGUCAAUUUUUUAACCAUCGACGGCUAUACACAUAAUUACGUAAGCCAGACAAAUAUAGAAGAGUCGAAAUCACAAGAAAGGAAUAUAUUAGAUGUAUCGCCUAUAAAUACCCAGCAACAACAGAUUUAUGGUUUUAAUGUAUUCCGUUUUAAUGGAUUUGAUUGAUGUAAAUAUAGAUUUUCAAUUCGUCAUUUUAGUAUAAA
rnacentral:lncRNA from 1 species